ACAUGGGUAGCCGUCUAAGAGAAGUAUGUUGCGCAUGCAGCUUUGUCGUCCCUGACAAGAAUGGGUAAUAUCCCCAGCCAGACGUGAUACUGCAUCGUAACAUAAUGCAGGUUGUAAUGCAAUGGGAAGCCUUGGUAAGCGUUGCUUUUCUGUUAAUUGCUAUUACCCUGGAAUCAGAUUGCCUGAGAUAGGUUGAAAGCCAGCAAAGCACCUGUCUUCUGAGGUGUCUGUGUGCUUUAAAUGCCCUUGAAAAACCAAAUGAUGUUUAUGUGCAUGUGCAUGUGCACGNGCGCGUGUAUGUGUAUGUGUGUGUAAGCGCAUGCGUAUGUGCAUGCGUAUCUGUACAUGUAUGUGUAUGUGUGUGGUUGUGUGUGUGCGUGGAUGUGUGCAUGUGUAUGUGUAUGUGCGUGCGUAUGGGCCCGUGUAUGUGUAAUCGCCGCGGGCCGCCCCGGGGAGCCUGCUGCAAGCACUUUCUUAAACCAUCAGUUUUCCAAGUUCUGAACAGCAAACCUUUCAAAUUUAAAACAAAAUAUGCCGCGCAAUUGGAAAACGCAUUCGUUUCAGUACUGAAACCAUGUUGUUGUCGAGAACGCGUUUUUCAAACCGCCUUCAACCCACCAGCUUUUUUGCAAUUAUACCUAGGGGCGGGUGCCCAGGGAGUGGGGCAGAACCAUUUGUGCAUUAUUGGGUUGGUACCCAAUGGUGGCUGAGUGGUGUCUGUAUGUGCACUGCACAGUAUCUGGCUCUUGUUGGGUUACACAGUAAUGUGUGUGACAUUACUUGCAUACGAAUGCAUUGGUGCAGAUGUAUCAUGUGAACACCAGCUGGGUGGGGGACUGUGGAAUGAUAUACAGGUUGACACUUGCAGAUAUCAACAUCUGAUGAAGCAAUGUGAAUUGUGAUUGGCGUGGCAUCUAAAGCAGUACACCCUUGUACGUGCUUGCUGUUGUGAA
rnacentral:misc_RNA from 1 species